rnacentral:lncRNA from 1 species
UUUUUUUUUUUUUGGUCUUUGGCUGCACCCUCUGCAUAUGAAGUUUCCCAGGCUAGGCGUCAAAUCAGAGCUAUAGCUGCUAGCCUAUGCCACAGCCACGGCAACUUGGAAUCUGAGCCUUGUCUGUGAGACCUACACCACAUACAUAGCAACGCUGGGCCAGGCCAGACUUCUAACUUGUGUUCUCAUGGAUGCUAAUCAGAUUCAUUUUUGCUGAGCCACUACGGGAACUCCAGGAUAGUACUGAUUUUUAAAUUGCUGUUUUUGUUUAUUGUUCUUAGAGUAAGGGUAAUAGAAUCCAUUAGAGGUUGAAAAAAAUCAUCUAUUUUUCAUUAGUUAUCUAGGUCUAAUAUCUUCUUUUAAGAUAAUAUUUUAAUUAAAAAGUUUUUAUAUCAAGUGAGGAAUUAGGUAGUAAUAGUUUGUUUUUGUUUUCUUUUUCCCCAUCAUAAAUGUCUAUUCCUGAAAAGUAGUAUCUACUUUCUGAGUGAUUGUCACUAGUUUUAAGUUAACUGCCUUUUUUAAAUGGAUGACUUUCCUAGUAAGGCCACCUGGCCUUUUUUUUUUAUAUAUAGCUGAUAAUCCUUUAGUAUUGGAACUAGAUUCCUAGAUAUGCUAAACCAAUGUAAUGUAAGCCUAGUAAUAAUAAUAAUAAUAACAACAACAACAACAAUAACAUAUGCAUAUAGUGCUUGGGGGUUAGGAACUGUUCCAACUGCUUUAAUAGAACUCAUUUUAAUUUUCACAAUAAUCCUGGAAAAAUAUGUUAUUAAUUUUUAAUUAUAUGGAUGAGGGACUGUGAUAGAAAGUUAAGGACCAGUAUGUUAAAACACUUUCAGUUCUAUAAUAACUCUGACUUCCUCAUUUCAUUCCUAAAUCUUCACUAAAUAGGAUGAACCCAUCUCCAAGUCCAUUGUUUGUUGUGCAAACUCACAUUGAUUUUUUUUCAAUCCCUCAGAGUCAGAGCUGAUAAUGACUUUGGUCACCAACUGGUUUGACUGCCCUCCCCCUGUGACUCUGCACCAAACUUUCCAGGGGAAAUCAAAAGUUUCAGGUGAAAGCCCCAGCACACUUUUCACCCAGCUUCAGUUGCCUUUUAUCUAAAUCUCUUUAAUGAUAUGCACUAAUGAAUUGAUCUUUGCCAUUGAAAUUCUGGUUUUGCUUUGCUUUAUGUUGUUGUGUUAACACUAAAGGAGGCCAUUUAACACAUCACAAUACCCCUACCCCCUUCAGGGCUGCAGACUGUGCCACAUUUUAUCUGGCUAGGCUGCUGGCUUUUGACAAGGAGUGAUGGAUGUAUGGGAUUCAGAGGUCAAAAGUUCUACAUCUUUGCUGCUCAAAGUGUGGCCCACAGACCAGCAGCAUCAGCAUCAUUUGGAAGCUUGUUAGAAAUGUAGACUCCCAGGCCCCGCCCCAGACCUGCUGAACUAGAAUCACAUAUAACAGGUUUCUCAUUAAAGUUUGAAAAGUACUAUUCUAGUUUGCAGUUCAGAGAAUGCGAUCUGCUGGGUUAAUUUUAGGAUCUGAUCCUUCUUGACUUCUGUUUCUCUCCUGUAUCCCAUCUCCAAGUGUCUAGUCCUAGCUUUGGUAACUUCUCUCAUUAAUAUGUUUGUCUCUAAGUCUUAAAAAUGAAAAUGAAUGUUUCCGUUUGGGGUUUUACACCUGUUCUUAUUUCAUGAAGUGUAAUGUUUCCAGCCAGCUUAGGUUUUAAAAAAAAUUCUGAAAUGCUAUGUGUGUUUCACCAUGUGAUGCUAUUUAUUUCUCUGAAGUUUUCAAGAAAUAUUAUCCUUGUUUUCCCAUGCUUCAUAUUGGUUGAAAAGAAUUGUUUUCUUUUCAUAAGCCAACUUUUGAUGUGAGAUUAGAACCAAUAUCGCCGAGCCAAAUCAUUUUGCUUUGAAGUCCUGUAACUGCAGUUUGAUUUUGACUAGAUUGUAUUUCUUAUCUAAACAAACCAACAGUUAAUUCUUCAUUGGGAGCAUUUUCUACUGUUGUGAUAUGUUUGGAGUUGCACUUAACCACACUACUUAUUUAUGUUCCAAGUGGAAAAAAUAUAUUACAUCUUUAACCAUAUUUUAAAGUUCCCAGGAUUGAAAUGAGAGCUCUCAGGUUUUGGUUUUAAAUUUAGUUUUAAUCUUAAAAAGGGAAUUGUGGUACUUAAGUGACAUGGACCACAGGACAAAGGCACAUAGCAAAUUGACAUAAUCUGGGGGGCUGGUGUUGGGGACAGAAAGAAUUUAGGAUUUAGGAAAAAAAAAAAAACCUAGCUGCAGAUAUGAUUUUUGAAGAAAAGGAGAAAAUUCAAAGAGUCUUUUGGAAUGCUGCUGUGCGUGUCAGCGCAGGCACUUACUAGGCACCUACAGAGUACACAGUCCCGGGUUGCUACAGCUCUGGAGAACAUAUGUUCUAGCUUUUCUGGAGCAGGCUUAAUUUCACUUUUUUUCAUGGCCAGACCAUGUGUCUCAUUUUUUGAUCUAGCCAAUAUAUUCACAGCAGGGGAAGCAGAGAGCAGAAGGUGAAAGUGCUGACUCAGUGAGGAAUCACGUGGGUUAUGUUCCCUUCUCAGAUGAGCCCUGUUCCACCUGGGAAGUGUAGGAAAUUGUUCAGAAAGCACACCAGGCUCUGAAACAUCUGUGCACAUGGCCAGAUUUUUCUGGCACUCUGUGAUCCACCCUCCACACAUCCCCUCCUUCAUCCCAUCUCAAUCCAGAAGAAUUUAGUUAUCGGCAAACCUCCAUUAUAGGCUAAAUGAAACGUUCAUUUGGAUUGGACCUUAGCAAUUUUUGCAAACAAAUUGUGCAGUCAGUGAACCAGGCCUCAGGCCAUAAAGUACACACAAUAAACUAUUUUUGUUAAUUUAUGUACAAGAUGAACAGUUCAGAUUUGCUGAUUUUAUAGCCAGUUUAGAUUAGCGAGAAGGAUUUUAAAGAUAGUGGGGUUAAUCUAAAUUUAGAGAAAAUUACAUUUUUUUUAAACAAUGUCCUUUUGCCCUUCUUCCACAUCAGUACCCUCCUAAUAAUCCUCCCUUCUUUAAAAACAACAACAACCUAUAGUUGGUUACAGACAGCAAUAAUGCCCACUUUGAAUUUCUUUUUACAUUUAUUUCUUCUCUAUAGCCUUUGGUAGAGAUGCUGGUGUGUGGGACAAUGCAAUGAUUUACUGCUCACUGGUUUUAGAUGCAAGGAUCUGAGAGCAAGGAGGUUAACUGGGCCUUGUCUCCCCUUUUCCAGAUAGCAUAUAUUAUGUAUCAGGUGUUCAGAAUAUUAAAAAGACAGGAGUUCAUGUUGUGGCUCAGUGAGGAAUCAGGUUUGGAUCCCUGGUCUUGCUCAGUGGGUUAAGGAUCCGGCGUUGUGGUGAGCUGGGUGUAGGUCAAAGGCGUGGCUCGGAUCUGGCAUUGCUGUGGCUGUGGCGUAUGCCAGCAGCUGUAGCUCCGACUGCACCUCUAGCCUGGGAACCUCCAUAUGCCCCUGGUGCAGCCCUAAAAGGUGAAAAAAAAAAAAAAAAAGACAAACUUUAUUCCUUAGGGACUCUUCAUGGGCCCCUCACAGUGUUAAUCCAAAUAACUCUCUUUAACAAAGAUUGGCUUUAUGGUCUCAAAUUUCUGCCUUGCACCUGAAUUGGCUGCUUGCUUUAUUUUGAAUCCAUUGAGGCACCCUGCACUGACCAGCGGAUCAUUAAAAAAAGAAAGACAGUUGAUUCUCUUUACUUUAAUUUUAAUUCAUAUUGGUUAUCAUUGCUAAUCAUCUUCAAAGAGAAUUAUUGCUUACGGAAAUUAAAAUUUAUACCUUCCAAGGAAAGAUACAAACAUAACUCUCCUCCGCCUAAUAUUUAGUGAUACCUCCUCAGUAUUUACGGUUGGUAUUGCAUUGAUUAAUAUGGCCUGACACAUAGUAGGACCUAAUAUUACUUUGAAUAAAGCAUAGUUCUCCAAGGGUAGAGAGUAUAGCAUUUUCUAUUCUGCCCUGUAAGUUAAGAUUUGAAUUAAAAAACCCAAGAGCAGUAUCAUUUGUAGCCUCUGGGUGAACCAAAUUAUUUUUCGAAAUAGGCGCCUCUAGAGUGAUGGCUGGGGGAGUGUGGGGCAGAGCUGAAAAGCUUGGGUGGUGGAGUCAGACAGGCAAGGCGAGAAGUCUCAGGUGGGCCCCUCAGGCUGGUGAACAACUCAUCAACCAUUGGUGACUUUGGACAGCUCACUUGAUCUCUAUGAGCUUCUGCUUCCUCCUCUGUCAACUGAGCAUCCCAGCAGUAUACAGCUCUCUGGCUCACUGUGAGGAUUAAGUGGGAUAUUGUGUGUAAAAGGCCUGGCCCAUGGGAGCAGCCACCGAGGGGCGGCUGUUCUCAUUAAGUCAGGUGUGGGGACCCGGGAGGUUGGAAUUUGGGAUGAAUGGCUUUGCCUUUGGAGAUUAACAUUCCCAUUAUCAUCACAUAAAUCAAAUGGACAGUCUUUGAGGGUUUAUGGCCUUUCCAUCUUCCUAGGAGGCACUGCUUCCUCCAGAUGUAGUUCUUAACUCAGAGGCCACCUGGAGGGCUUCCCGAUGCGUCAUCUAUUAACAGGCUCCAGGCUGUAUAUACCCAGGAGGGAGGAGGCAGCCGUUCCCUGGGGAAAGGGGCCACAAGUUUGGGGCCACCUCAGAUCCCUGCCCCCACCCACACUUUAUUUAGCUUUCAUUCAGGAAGGGGGGCACUCAGGCCCGCAGAUGGGAGCCGUUUCAUCUUAGCUGGGUCAGAGGUGAAUGGAGAUAAGUAACAUCUUCUUACCAGGAGGCCCCAGGAAAGCUUGGUGUGCUGUUGGAGUUGAAUCAGGAUCUCAGAGAUUAAACAGACCAAUACUCUCCCACUCUCCCUCACUCCAGGGGGAGUGAGGCCCUGCGAGAGUAAGCUGCAGCCAGCCAGGUGGGAGGGCGGUGGGCUGCAGGGUCCUGUCAGUCAUCAAACGCUUGGGGAAGAAGCAGGACAAUUGCUCACCCAACAAUCCAAAGUCUGGUCUCUGUACACUUCACUGUACUAGAUGGGAGCUCCCACACAGCCCUGCUGUGCCAUAAUGGCAGCCCCCGUUCCUGCCUCCUGAGCCCUGGGACUAGAGUGGGCUUCUUGACACAGACUGAACUGCGGUGGCUCUGGGCCAGGCUGCUCCUGGGACUCAUAGCAGCAGCAGCAUCCUGGAGUCUGAUCCAGUUCCUCUGGUCAGGUUCUGUUCUAACAAGGGCAGCAUGUCAGGGAAGCAUGUCAGCAUGUGCAUGUGGUUUAAGAUUAGCAAACUUAAUCAGUUUAUCCAGGUUACUAAAGAGGGGGAAAGUGCUUAUGUAUUU